AAGGCGAACAGGAGGCAGCUGAGACCCACCAGGCAGGGUCCCACGCAUCACCUCUUGCUGGGCGCAGCAGGCAGGAGGAGCAGUCGGCUCCCACGGAGAGGAGAGGAAUCCCCAGAGGCCACUCUCUGAGAUUGCCUACCACAACUUUAUUGAGGAUUUCAGGAAAGACUUUUUUAUUUCAGAGCUGUGGAGCUCCAUAGAAGAGUUCUAAGCAGAAGGGACAAGGUCUUGAUAUGUUUUCCUGGCUGGGGUACAGUGGCUAUUCACAGGCAUGAUUCUGCUACUGAUAAAAAUCCAAUGAAAUACUCUCCUUCUACGUUAUGAUAUGACCGACAGUACCAGCGACUCUGAGCACUACCCCUUUUUAGCAGAUGGGGGCGCUUGACAAGCAGGAUGCAUAUGACAGAAAAAAACAGGCCUCCUGGUACCCUUGUUUCUUCUCAAAGACUGACUUAGGCAGAUUUGGAUGUCCACAUAUUCAUUCUGAAUCUUACACUGUUAUUGCAAAUCCAGCGAUGAAUUUGGGGAACUGCUGAAAAUAUAUGAAAACACUACCUUCUUCCCAUCGUAGGACUGUGGAAGCGUUCAUGUGCUCAACUGGGAAGAGCUAGAGCAGAGAAAGGGCUGUGGUUUCUGAAGGGAAAGAAAUGCUGGCGGGGUGAUUAGCUGUUGGGAAAUGAUGACAUGGCUAGUUCUUAUCUUCAGGGUGGCUGAAAAAUUAGGGGAGGUCACAGUUUUGCAAUAGCUAAGAGGGGUUUCCAAAGAGUUCUUAUCAUCUGUGAGGACUUGGGCAGCUGGGAAACAUUCGGCCUGGGGAGUUUCUGUGAUGUUUGGGGAGGGAAGUUGGAAGAGGAUCAGUUGCUGGGAAGGCCUGGGAGGGAGGCUUUUCCAUGGGAAGGGUGAGUCGGCUGGGAGGGAAUGCUGCAGCUUGAAGGGUCAGCCUUCCCGCCCAGGGGGAAUGGCAGGGUUGCAGCAGCUGGGAACACCCAGAGCAGGGGAUUUUACGCAGGAACAUAACCCAAGACUGAGGGGGGGGAAGUGCCACCAGCGUCGCUCAGCCUGCCUUGCAAAGCAUCUAUUUUCCACGUUAGCAACGAGUCCAGCCUUUCCUCUCUAGGCGCAUUUACCUGCCAUCCAUCCAAGGGCUCUCCCUGAUGUGUUCAUUUCUCUCCUGGAACUUAUGCAUGUAAAUUGCCAUUUAUCUCUUUCAUAAUAAUC